UUGCUUGUUUUGGAGUUAUUGGCAGAAUUUACAGCAUUGCUAGAACAUAAAAUAGAUUAAUACAUAAGCUAAUGUAUAGCAUGUUCUCUGAUCUUUACCAGGGAUUAAACUCCUGUUCAUUAACACUAACUAACGAGGGUCAAGGGAUACCACUAAGGCUUCUCCUGUUCACUAACGAGGGUCAAGGGAUACCACUAAGGCUUCUCCUGUUCACUAACGAGGGUCAAGGGAUACCACUGAGGCUUCUCCUGUUCACUAACGAGGGUCAAGGGAUACCACUAAGGCUUCUCCUGUUCACUAACGAGGGUCAAGGGAUACCACUGAGGCUUCUCCUGUUCAUUAACACUAACGAGGGUCAAGGGAUACCACUAAGGCUUCUCCUGUUCACUAACGAGGGUCAAGGGAUACCACUAAGGCUUCUCCUGUUCACUAACGAGGGUCAAGGGAUACCACUAAGGCUUCUCCUGUUCACUAACAAGGGUCAAGGGAUACCACUAAGGCUCCUCCUGUUCAUUAACACUAACGAGGG